UAGUGUUUUUAACAAAGUCUACCUACGGUAGUGUUAGCCCAUGGGCGACUUGUCUUGGUUUCCCCUUUUCCCACCAGCAACAAACACAAACACCAUAACCAAAAACAAUACUCACAGGAGAUGACAAAGUGAUUGGAGGUGCUCAAACAAAAAAGAAGGUAAGACACAAAGAAGAGUGAAACACAGAGACCUACAGACAUGGCAUUUACAGAGAGAUUGAGCUGUAGAGCAAACAACUGAUGGGGUUUUUAAACCAAGGGAAGGAAACUGUGAUAGGGUAGGAAACAGGAGAGGGUGGUGUCUUCUGAUUGAUGAUUGAUUGUUGACUGAUUGGGGAGUGAUGAUGUUCACCUGUGAGGGGAGAAGGAGAAAAAAGAAACACACACAGGAUACUUGUAUCCGUAACAGCAACCCUAUGGCAGGCCUAUGGCAACCCAUGGCAGGCCUAUGGCAACCCUAUGGCAGGCCUAUGGCAACCCUUAUGGCAGGCCUAUGGCAACCCUAUGGCAGGCCUAUAGCAACGCUAGGGCAGCCUAUGGCAACCCUAGGGCAGGCCUAUGGCAGGCCUAUGGCAACCUAUGGCAGGCCUAUAGCAACGCUAUGGCAGGCCUAUGGCAACCCUAUGGCAGGCCUAUGGCAGGCCUAUGGAAACCCUAUGGCAGCCCUACGAAGGUAUAUGCAACCCAAUGGCAACCCUAUGGCAACCCUAUGGGCAGGCAUAAUGGCAACCCAUGGAGGCCUAUGGCAACCCUAUGGCAGGCCUAUGGAGCCUAUGGAACCCUAUGGCAGCCCUACGACAGGUAUAUGGCAACCCAAUGGCAGGCCAUGGCGGCUAUGGAACCCUAUGGCAGCCUAUGCAGGCCUAUCGCAGCCCUAUGGCAGGCCUAUGGCAACCCAUGGCAGGCUAGGGGCAGCCCUAUGGCGGCCUAUGGCACCCUAUGGCAGGCCCUAUGGCACCCUAUGGCAGGCCUAUGGCAACCCUAUGGCAGGCCUAUGGCAACCCUAAUUGGCAGCCCAUGGCAGGCCUAUCGCAGCCCUAUGGCAGGCCUAUCGCAGCCCAUGGAACCCUAUGGCAGCCCUAUGGCAGGCCUAUGGCAGGCCUAUGGCAACCCUAUGGCAGCCCUAUGGCAGGCCUAUCGCAGCCCUAUGGCAGGCCUAUGGCAACCCUAGGGCAGGCCUAUGGCAGCCCUAUGGCAGCCAUGGCAGCCCUAUUGGCAGCCCUAUAUCGCAGCCCUAUGGCAACCCUAUGGCAGCCCUAUGGCAAACCCUAGGGCACCAAUGGCAACCAAUGGCAGCCUGGGUACAACGUUAGAGGACCUAAACAUGCCGUCUUACCUUCAUCCAAACAGUAAGCCACCAUACAACAGAGCUACGUAUCUACAAACAGGUAGAGCAUCAUACAAACAGGUAGAGCCAUCCAUACAAAACAGGUAAGAGCCAUCUAUACAAACAGGUAAGACACCAUACAAAGGUUAGAGCAUCCAUACAAACAGG
rnacentral:lncRNA from 1 species